CUGCGGCGUUGAGUUCCGCGCCUCAUUGUCACCUGCCGUUUGGCGGCGGCGCGGAGGGCUGAGUGUGACCGUCUAGGCCCUUUGUGAGCAAGACGCAGGCCGGAGGCGAUCAGGGCGAGGCGCGUCCGCGGGCUCUGCGCGAGUCCCUGACCUCGCCCGCUCCAAAAGCGUCACCCCUGACGACCACGUUAAGGCUUGGGUUGAACGUUUGUCGAUACGCAUCGCUUUCGCAAUGCUGAAACAAGCGCCUUUCACCGGAAGCGGCCCCGUUGGCCGAGGGCAGGUGGAGCGAGAGCCGUUCCCAGCCCGACCUCUGGUGGUGUUCUCCCGGAAUAGACGCCUUUCCCCAAAAGGCACAACUUCCGGUGCACAAGCCCGUGGGAUGCCGCGUCUUGUCUUCUUGUCCCCCGUCCCCCAGAUGGGGAGCGAGAAUGGGUGUCAUCGGAACAAAACUCGCCUUGUAGUUAUUACGUGGGGCCUGGGGGUUGGUUUUUUGUUGUUGUUGUUUUUUUUAAGCAAAUGAGCAGAAACAAAACCAUCGGAGCCUGCUCCUUACCCGUGAGCACCCUCCCCUAAACUUCGGAUUGAGAGAAGACCUGCCCACGUCUCUUUCAUUCUUCUAAUAACAAAAGCAGCGACAUCAGCUUCUCUUGCGGAGCUCAGGGCUGCCACACACCGCGCUGGCCACCUGACCACCCUGUGUCUGAUGGGAUCCUCAUGGCAACCCUACGAAAAGAUACUGUUCCCGUUCUGCAGAUGAAAACACCGGAGUUGUGCAAGACCCCAGCGAGCAAGUGGCGACCUGAGGGUUUACUUAGACCCCGGUGUAUGUCAGGCUCCAAGUUCACACCUUUAGCUCAGGCUCUGGGGAGGUGGGGGUGGGGGUGUGUGACUUGCACACGCUCAGGAGAUGACAGAGGCGCUGCCUGACAGCCCUGCAUGCUGCUUGAGAAUGUAAACCGAGGCCUUGAUCUUGGGAAGAGCCCUCCGCCACCCACAUCCCCGCGCUGCUUCCCCUUCAAUUCCGUCCCAGAAGCCUCCGGAGUGGAGCCUCCGGAGUAUGUUCACAUGGGUCCAUGCAGAAGUCCGUCCUAAGUACUCAAUCUCAAAGGUUACCUGAAAAAUGCCAAUUAAAACCUCCCGUGAGGUCCAUGUCACCUCCUCUAGAGCAGCUAAAAUAAAGACUAGAUGUUGGAGAGCAUGGAGAGCAUAUAUUGGGUUGUCGGAAAAGUCAUGACACAUUUUUUUGCAACGAAAAACAUAGAAAAAAAUACGUCAUGACUUUUCCGACAACCCAAUAGAUCCUUGGUAAGCCGGUGGGGAGUGGAAGAGGAUGCAACGGUUUUGGAAACUCAUGUAAAUAUUUCUUUUAAGUAACGCGAGGACUUACCCUGUGAGCACAUCCAUUGGUCACCACUGUAGGCUGCUCAGUUCCAAAUGCACAGGUGCAGACGUCCUCCCCGACCUUUGGAGUCGGGGGUCCAGCAAGUGCCUCCUGGACAUCUCCCCCUGGAGGCCCCACAGCACCUCAGAGUCACCUGCCCAGUAAUGGCGCAUCCCCACCGUCCCCUAACCUGGAUUGCUGUGCUGGGGCUCGGGUCAGAUCCUGCCCUUUUCAGCUCUUUCCUUGUGAACUGGCUUGGGGGUGGGGGAAGUCUGGCCGCUGGGUGCCCUGGCACGACUGGAGAGCAGAACGAAGCAGAAGCAGGGCCAUUUUCUCCCUCUCGGCUUUGAGUGGAGUUCCUGGCAGUGGUUCCAGCUCCAACCGGAGAGGCACUCUGUGGCCCCAGCCUCUCCACAUAAAAGACUUCUUUAAAGAAAGAUUUUAUUGAGCCAAAAAUGCUAACCAAAAUGAAGACGGGUCUUGGGGCAUGAAGUCCAAACCACCAGCAGCAUGGCUAGGUGGGAAAGACGUGCAUACAGGUCCACUGACUUUGGCGUUCGCAAGCAUUUUUAUACGUCAAGCAAGGGGAAGGGGGAAGAAAGACGCAGGUGUCUGCAAGAAUUUGCAUGAGCUGUAGGCAAAGGGGUGGGAGGAGGUGACAUGGGCCAGCUCUGAGAUGGAGUCCGAAAAAAGAAACGUCCACUCCUGCAGCCGAGGCUGGCUGGGAGAAUCUGCAGAAAGACUCACCUGGAAAUUAAUCCAAACUUCCAACGGACAUAGGAGGCCUGUGAGCAGUCUUUUGGUAGCUGGCCCACAGCCAUUAACAGAGUAACAGCUCUAUCUCUACCUGGCGUCUAUAAUUCAAUUUACAACAUCUCUGAAUUUUCUCCUUGUCACUUCCAUCAGGAUGUAAGCAACCCCUGCAUACAUACCCCUGCCCCAUUUUAAAGGCUGUAUGGAGUGGUUUUGGUGUUCCUGGUUGGACCUGCGCCGAUAUAGGACAGAAACCCCACUGGGCCAGCAUUUUGGGCUCCUCUCUCUCUCACCCCAUGUAACUCAUCAGUCAACAGAUUUUACUAAUUUUACCUCUUAAAUAGUCCUCAAACCAUUCCCCCGGCUUCAUCCAGUUGCCCAAGUAACGCCCCAUUCCAUCCAUUGCAUUAUUAAAAUAGCCAAAUGUAUUGCUCAAUCUGCCAAAUAUAUUUUAAAAGGCCUAACUGAAUAUAUUGCACUCGUGUCUGAAACCCUCCUGUCCCCUGAUGCGGAUGGGACAGCCAAGCUCCUCAGCUUGGUCUCUAAUGGCCCCUGGGGGCUGGAUCCUGCCUGCCUUUCUCCCCUCAUCCCUAGUCACGUCCUGCCCUGGGUCCGUCAGCAGAGUAAAUCUCAGUGACCCCAGACUCGCAUCAGGCUGUCUCUGCUCCAGGCUCAGGCUGGUCUUUGGCCUAAAAUUCCCUUUUCCACUUGGCCUUCAACCACCACCUGUGGCAUCACUUCCUCCAAGAAGUCUUCCUGGAUCUCCCCCCUAUCCCUGCCACUAGGUUGGCACUGCCUUGGGCUGGCCUGCACAUUCCACUUAUACAUUCAGUUGGAAUGCUCCCUGGCAUUCUCCUUCCUCUCCUACCAUGACUCUUAAGAGCCAGCACGACGCCUUACUCAUCUGUGUGCAAGUCUAAGCAAAGCAUCCCCACCGCUGUUGGGUAAGCUGCUUCCACCUUAGCCGCAUCUCGGUAAGGCGCCCUGUGGUCCCUAGAGGUGCCGAGGAAGGCGAGCAGGGGCAAGCGCUACUGAAGAGCGGGGCCCGGGAAUCUGCCUCUGCAAGGGCUCAAAUCCCAGCUCCAGGGCUUACUGGCGGGGUGACCAGGUAACUCCGCUUCCUGCACCUGUUUCCUUAUCUAUCAAACUGGGAAGAUGAGAGGACUGAUUUCUCAGAGUUGGCAAGCGUUACAUGAGAGAACGUCUGUAAAACUCUUAGCACGAGUCCUCGCAUGGAGUAAACAUUAGCCAUGACUGGAAUUACUAGAGGUAUUGGAACGAUUUCCUAAGUGGCUGCCCAUGGAAGUCUAGCUGCGGAGUCUCCUGAGCUGGGGGACAGAUCACAAAAGAAAAUGGACAGGACCUGUAAGCCAAAACGAGUUACCCGAGACUGCCCUCCUCUGGAAGCCCACUUACCAGGGUGGAUUUCAGGAGGGUACCCCCAUUCUCUGGUAAGAAUGGCUCACGGGAGCCAUUCCUUCUGGGAGGCUGGAGCUGUGCUCCGUGAUGGUCAGAGGCUGCACAGCCAGCGCCCCAUCGAAACCCAGGGGCCAAGUUUCUAAUCAGAUCCCUUGGGGAUCUUGCUCCUGAUCCUCUCCUCACCCCCGACUCCACUUAAAGGGGCAAAGCAAGACUUAACAACUUUCGGCUUGCUUUAUUUCUAGUUAACACAGCACAACCUCUGCACCCCAUCUUGGAUCCCAUCUUCAAAUCCACUCACCCUUUCUCUGUGACCCCCACCCCGACCCCUGGACACUGCACCAUCCCGCAGGUUCCAGUUUGGAUUCCUCUCAUGUUUUUGUUUUAACUGGAAAGAAAGAUUUCCCCCAGUUGCUACAGAAUGAAAGUGUGUGGAAUUACUGUAGCUCAUGUUUUGGAGGUCUCUUCUUUUCACACUCCAUUUGUUUCUUGGAGAAAACCUGCAAUUAGAGCUAAAUGAUCUCCCCAAAUCAAAGCACCACCUUUCACUGCACGAUGACUGAAGGCACUUGCGUGUGCCAAGGUGCAUUGUGGGUCAGCUCAAAGCUCGAACCCAGAGUUGGAGGUAGGCCUGUUCUUGAAUUUCAAAGUCUUAACGCACAGCCUAUGGUAACAGCACAUGGCCCGUAAUACAACUGACCCCAGCAAAGUAUCUGUAGGUCCACGAUUUUGGUUUCCUUUUUUUUUUUUUUUAAGUUAAGAGUAGGUAAACAUAUACAGGAGAAAG